AGGGCUGCCCAGCCUCGUGGUUCCAAUCCUCCAAAUUAAUCACUUUCUUCCUGCUCCCUCCCCACGCACAAUUUCACAGUGAAGGGGGGGGGAGAGAGAGAGAGAGAGAGAGAGAGAGAGAGAGAGACAAAGAGGGAAAAGGGACCAUCCGUGACUGGCAUCUCUAGCUCCCUGCGCUCAGCUACCAGGGAACCAUGGCAACCAGGGCCGGGUGCGCUCUCACCCCGUGGUGGUCUCCGGAGGUGGAGCGCCUAUGCCUCCCAGUUUCCUCGGCCCCCCAGCCCAACCCUAAAGAACCCAUUUCUAGGCUGGCAGCAUUUUUGGAACCCCACUGGGAUCUGGAAUCCUCUCCUGAGAAUAAAAGCAAGAUACGGGUUCAGGGCACGGGAUUGUGGGGAAGGGAUCUUAAGCCCCACAAUCUAAGAGAUGGGCAGGGGAGACAGAGGCCAAAGCUGAUUUCAAACUGUGCUGAACCUCGUACUCCCCACUCAAGAGCAGGCUGGAAACUACAAGAAGAUAGAAAUCGGCUCAAGGGGAUACGGAGGGGCGGAGGCGUGAGGUGCACGGAGAGACUGAGGGUCGUCCCACCGGUGACCUUAUUUACUCCGUCGGACUCACCUGAGCUGUCUGAAUCUUGCCUCAGUACCCGAGCUGUCUACUGGGCGAACUGGCAAAGCCCCCAGGGCUAGCAAGAGACGUGCAAAGUGACUCACCUGAGUCGCCUCCAGCACCCGAUAUGUCCCGUAUCUUCCCUCCGGGAAACUUCUCCCCAAGCUGGCUGGAAGCGGGAAGAGGGAGCAGCUGGGUCCGGCGGGGGACAGAUCCUGGAGUUUCUCGCCGGCCGAUACCCACCGAUCCGCAGCCGGGUCUGCCCACGGAGAUCCCACCAGUCCCCUCCCGCUGUUGGCACUGGUCGAGAGAAGGCUGGACCUGCUCUGGCUGGCGCUGGGAUCCACGCCCUCCUGCCGGAGACUGGCUCGCGCCUCUCCUCCUCCUUUCCUGGGUUCUGCUCUGCCACCCCUCACCCACGCCGCGGAUAUUCCCUCCCUUUGCACACUCCCUUGGGACAGAGAGAGUUACAGCGUUAAGACUUUUAUUUCCUGAAAAUCAAGCGAUGAAGCCAAAACUUUGCUUGUCAUCUUCUGCAUCUCUUAAUCCCAAGAGGUAGGACAGGCCCCUUUAUCAGCAAAGGUGACAUUUAAAAGUCCCCCCCCCCCAGGUUUUGCUCAGUUCCUGUGCCAAACGGGAGUUGCCAGUCUGGUUUUCCCCCCAUUGCUACAUGUUAGAGGGGUGUGGUGCCAUGUGCCUAUAAAAAAUUGUCUUCUUGCUCUCCUUUCCUCAUUUAGAGACGUGAUUGGGCUUGCUAUUAAAUCUACAAAAGCUCCUACUACCAUAAGCUGUCAAAUCUGUGCAUGGAGAAAUUGAGAGACUUUCCACUAUUACCAUUUUUAUAAAUUUUCCUCCACUAUUUAAGGAGUCCAUAUUUCACCACAUUGUUCCACAAUGUGUUUCCUACUUACUCUCUGUUAAUUCACUAUUAUAGAAGAAAGCCUUGUGUACAUCUUUCCAAUACAAAAAGCCAUUCCUGAUGCCUUGUCAGUUCUACUAAUAAAAAGAAAUAUUUAUUUUAGGAUCUCAGAUAUGAGAAAAUUGUAGUUCUUCUUUUACUGUAACUGAUGUGUAUAGCCCUUUAAUUUUCUUCCCCAUCAUUGACGUUUUCCAAAAUGUUCACACAAUACCACUUUUAAAAUCCUGUUUCAUUUAAGAUCUCUUUGAUGGUAACAGAAUUGUUGACUUCUAAUUUUCACUCCACUAAUCCUGUGAGACUGAUCAGUUUCACAGAGAGCCUUAAACAAUGAGGUAUUUAGGGCUGUGAUCAGCCCUCAGAU
rnacentral:lncRNA from 1 species